UGGCUCAGGACGAACGCUGGCGGCAUGCCUAACACAUGCAAGUCGAACGGAGUAAUGACUUCGGUUAUUACUUAGUGGCGAACGGGUGAGUAACACGUGAAUAAUCUGCCCUGUACGAUGGGAUAACAGCUGGAAACGGCUGCUAAUACCGUAUAUGACCACGCCGAGGCAUCUCGGAGGGGUGAAAGCGCUUAAGCGGUACAGGAUGAGUUCGCGUCCAAUUAGCUAGUUGGUGAGGUAACGGCCCACCAAGGCGACGAUUGGUAGCCGACCUGAGAGGGUGAUCGGCCACACUGGAACUGAGACACGGUCCAGACUCCUACGGGAGGCAGCAGUGGGGAAUAUUGGGCAAUGGAGGAAACUCUUUAACCCCCAGCAAUGCCGCGUGAGUGAUGAAGGUCUUCGGAUUGUAAAGCUCUUUGAUUGGGGACGAAUAAAUGACGGUACCCAAGGAACAAGCCCCGGCUAACUAUGUGCCAGCCGCUGC
rnacentral:rRNA from 1 species